rnacentral:rRNA from 1 species
UACGUAGGGUGCAAGCGUUGUCCGGAAUUAUUGGGCGUAAAGAGCUCGUAGGCGGUUUGUUGCGUCGGCUGUGAAAUCCCGAGGCUCAACCUCGGGUCUGCAGUCGAUACGAGCAAACUAGAGUGUUGCAGGGGAGACUGGAAUUCCUGGUGAUAGCGGUGAAAUGCGCAGACUAUCAGGAGGAACACCGGUGGCGAAGGCGGGUCUCUGGGCAACAACUGACGCUG